rnacentral:tRNA from 1 species
AUUUUCUUAGUAUAGUAGUACAAAUGACUUCCAAUCAUAAAGCUUUGGUUAAAGGCCAGAAGAGAAUA